rnacentral:rRNA from 1 species
AUACGGAAGGGGCAAGCGUUGUUCGGAAUCAUUGGGCGUAAAGGGCGCGUAGGCGGUCUCGUAUGUCUGCUGUGAAAGCGCACGGCUUAACCGUGCAGGGUCGGUGGAAACUGCGAGACUUGAGGCUGGGAGGGGCUGGUGGAAUUCCCUGUGUAGCGGUGAAAUGCGUAGAUAUGGGGGAGAACACUCGUGGCGAAGGCGGCCAGCUGGACCAGUUCUGACGCUGAGGCGCGAUAGCGUGGGGAGCAAACAGGAUUAGAAACCCCAGUAGUCC